CGGUGAGGUAGCUGAUAAAUUGGGGACUAUUAUCUGUUUUUAUUUCAUGUUGAACAAUAUCGCAGUACACCAAAUCGAAAUUAUUCGUGCAAAGACGUACGAUAAAGCUAACGAUGGUUUCUUUUUAUCCAUAUCCAUCUUCGUCCAGUCGAAAAGAUUUCCGAAUUUCUUUCUCUGAGUCAUUUCAGUAACUGUGCUAGGCUUUCUAAUUUUUCUCUAUUUGAUUGUUUUUUUGAUUCUUCUAUUGCUUGUACAAGUUCCCCUACUACUGAUUUUUGCGUAAUUUUAUUGCAUUGGUUGUAAUAUUCACGAUUGUAAAGUACAGCCCAUCCUGUGCCUUUGCCUUAACCAAAACAUCUGUCAUAAUCAAAUCUCAGUUCCUUUGAUGAAUCUAUAUGUUGUUAUGCAAUAGGCGAUUGAUCUCCAACAGUUUCUCUAGUUGAUCGAGUCUGUCACUGAUUUGUUUUAUGUCUGUCUGCAAUCCUUGGGUAAGAUUAAAAUUUUGCUCCGCUGUACCCGAUUCAUUUACGGUAUUUACAUUAAUUAAUUUAACCUCAUUAACUUCCUAUAUUUUCCACACAAAAGGGCGUGAUUUAUUUAUUUUCUAUUCUGUCAUUUCUUGGCGAGACGCUAUAAAUAAAGCAUCUUCAAAAAUUUUUGGAUCAUGGCAUAUUACAGAAUGGUUCUCACACAGUUUUCGUAAUUAUGGUAGCACGUGUCUUUUAUUCAGUUAAAUUUCACAUUAAAUUAUAGUCGACAUA
rnacentral:lncRNA from 1 species